UGGGGAAUAUUGCACAAUGGGCGCAAGCCUGAUGCAGCCAUGCCGCGUGUAUGAAGAAGGCCUUCGGGUUGUAAAGUACUUUCAGUCGGGAGGAAGGUGUCAAGGUUAAUAACCUUGGCAAUUGACGUUAUCGAUAGAAGAAGCACCGGCUAACUCCGUGCCAGCAGCCGCGGUAAUACGGAGGGUGCAAGCGUUAAUCGGAAUUACUGGGCGUAAAGCGCACGCAGGCGGUUGAUUGAGUCAGAUGUGAAAUCCCCUGGCUUAACCCGGGAAUUGCAUCUGAUACUGGUCAGCUAGAGUCUUGUAGAGGGGGGUAGAAUUCCAUGUGUAGCGGUGAAAUGCGUCGAGAUGUAGAGGAAUACCGGUUACGAAGGCGGCCCCCUGGACAAAGACUGACGCUCAGGUGCGAAAGCGUGGGGAGCAAACAGU
rnacentral:rRNA from 1 species